rnacentral:rRNA from 1 species
GAUGAACGCUAGCUACAGGCUUAACACAUGCAAGUCGAGGGGCAGCAUGGUCUUAGCUUGCUAAGGCCGAUGGCGACCGGCGCACGGGUGAGUAACACGUAUCCAACCUGCCGUCUACUCUUGGACAGCCUUCUGAAAGGAAGAUUAAUACAAGAUGGCAUCAUGAGUCCACAUGUUCACAUGAUUAAAGGUAUUCCGGUAGACGAUGGGGAUGCGUUCCAUUAGAUAGUAGGCGGGGUAACGGCCCACCUAGUCUUCGAUGGAUAGGGGUUCUGAGAGGAAGGUCCCCCACAUUGGAACUGAGACACGGUCCAAACUCCUACGGGAGGCAGCAGUGAGGAAUAUUGGUCAAUGGGCGAGAGCCUGAACCAGCCAAGUAGCGUGAAGGAUGACUGCCCUAUGGGUUGUAAACUUCUUUUAUAAAGGAAUAAAGUCGGGUAUGCAUACCCGUUUGCAUGUACUUUAUGAAUAAGGAUCGGCUAACUCCGUGCCAGCAGCCGCGGUAAUACGGAGGAUCCGAGCGUUAUCCGGAUUUAUUGGGUUUAAAGGGAGCGUAGAUGGAUGUUUAAGUCAGUUGUGAAAGUUUGCGGCUCAACCGUAAAAUUGCAGUUGAUACUGGAUAUCUUGAGUGCAGUUGAGGCAGGCGGAAUUCGUGGUGUAGCGGUGAAAUGCUUAGAUAUCACGAAGAACUCCGAUUGCGAAGGCAGCCUGCUAAGCUGCAACUGACAUUGAGGCUCGAAAGUGUGGGUAUCAAACAGGAUUAGAUACCCUGGUAGUCCACACGGUAAACGAUGAAUACUCGCUGUUUGCGAUAUACAGCAAGCGGCCAAGCGAAAGCGUUAAGUAUUCCACCUGGGGAGUACGCCGGCAACGGUGAAACUCAAAGGAAUUGACGGGGGCCCGCACAAGCGGAGGAACAUGUGGUUUAAUUCGAUGAUACGCGAGGAACCUUACCCGGGCUUAAAUUGCAGAUGAAUUACGGUGAAAGCCGUAAGCCGCAAGGCAUCUGUGAAGGUGCUGCAUGGUUGUCGUCAGCUCGUGCCGUGAGGUGUCGGCUUAAGUGCCAUAACGAGCGCAACCCUUGUUGUCAGUUACUAACAGGUUCUGCUGAGGACUCUGACAAGACUGCCAUCGUAAGAUGUGAGGAAGGUGGGGAUGACGUCAAAUCAGCACGGCCCUUACGUCCGGGGCUACACACGUGUUACAAUGGGGGGGUACAGAGGGCCGCUACCACGCGAGUGGAUGCCAAUCCCAAAAACCUCUCUCAGUUCGGACUGGAGUCUGCAACCCGACUCCACGAAGCUGGAUUCGCUAGUAAUCGCGCAUCAGCCACGGCGCGGUGAAUACGUUCCCGGGCCUUGUACACACCGCCCGUCAAGCCAUGGGAGCCGGGGGUACCUGAAGUGCGUAACCGCGAGGAGCGCCCUAGGGUAAAACUGGUGACUGGGGCU